rnacentral:rRNA from 1 species
UACGUAGGCAGCGAGCGUUGUUCGGAGUUACUGGGCGUAAAGCGUGCGUAGGCGGUAGUCCAAGUCUGGUGUGAAAUCUCCCGGCUUAACUGGGAGGGUGCGCCGGAAACUGGGCUGCUGGAGUGCGGGAGAGGUAAGCGGAAUUCCCGGUGUAGCGGUGAAAUGCGCAGAUAUCAGGAAGAACACCUAUGGCGAAGGCAGCUCUCUGGGACGGUACUGACGCUGAGACGCGAAAGCGUGGGGAGCGAACAGG